rnacentral:rRNA from 1 species
ACGCUGGCGGCAUGCUUUACACAUGCAAGUCGGACGGCAGCACAGAGAAGCUUGCUUCUUGGGUGGCGAGUGGCGAACGGGUGAGUAAUAUAUCGGAACGUACCGAGUAAUGGGGGAUAACUAAUCGAAAGAUUAGCUAAUACCGCAUAUUCUCUGAGGAGGAAAGCAGGGGACCUUCGGGCCUUGCGUUAUUCGAGCGGCCGAUAUCUGAUUAGCUAGUUGGUGGGGUAAAGGCCUACCAGGGCGACGAUCAGUAGCGGGUCUGAGAGGAUGAUCCGCCACACUGGGACUGAGACACGGCCCAGACUCCUACGGGAGGCAGCAGUGGGGAAUUUUGGACAAUGGGCGCAAGCCUGAUCCAGCCAUGCCGCGUGUCUGAAGAAGGCCUUCGGGUUGUAAAGGACUUUUGUCAGGGAAGAAAAGGCUGUUGCUAAUACCGACAGCUGAUGACGGUACCUGAAGAAUAAGCACCGGCUAACUACGUGCCAGCAGCCGCGGUAAUACGUAGGGUGCGAGCGUUAAUCGGAAUUACUGGGCGUAAAGCGAGCGCAGACGGUUACUUAAGCAGGAUGUGAAAUCCCGGGCUCAACCUGGGAACUGCGUUCUGAACUGGGUGACUAGAGUGUGUCAGAGGGAGGUAGAAUUCCACGUGUAGCAGUGAAAUGCGUAGAGAUGUGGAGGAAUACCGAUGGCGAAGGCAGCCUCCUGGGAUAACACUGACGUUCAUGCUCGAAAGCGUGGGUAGCAAACAGGAUUAGAUACCCUGGUAGUCCACGCCCUAAACGAUGUCAAUUAGCUGUUGGGCAACUUGAUUGCUUAGUAGCGUAGCUAACGCGUGAAAUUGACCGCCUGGGGAGUACGGUCGCAAGAUUAAAACUCAAACGAAUUGACGGGGACCCGCACAAGCGGUGGAUGAUG